GGGAAGGUGGCUCAGUGGUAGAGCGCUUGCCUCCCAUGCCUGAGGCCCUGGGUUCGAUUCCUCAGCACCCCA
rfam:Dipodomys ordii contig_59689, whole genome shotgun sequence.